rnacentral:rRNA from 1 species
GACGAACGCUGGCGGCGUGCUUAACACAUGCCAGUCGAACGGAAAGGCCCUGCUUUUGUGGGGUGCUCGAGUGGCGAGCGGGUGAGUAACACGUGAGUAACCUGCCCUUGACUUUGGGAUAACUUCAGGAAACUGGGGCUAAUACCGGAUAGGAGCUCCUGCUGCAUGGUGGGGGUUGGAAAGUUUCGGCGGUUGGGGAUGGACUCGCGGCUUAUCAGCUUGUUGGUGGGGUAGUGGCUUACCAAGGCUUUGACGGGUAGCCGGCCUGAGAGGGUGACCGGCCACAUUGGGACUGAGAUACGGCCCAGACUCCUACGGGAGGCAGCAGUGGGGAAUAUUGCACAAUGGGCGGAAGCCUGAUGCGGCAACGCCGCGUGCGGGAUGACGGCCUUCGGGUUGUAAACCGCUUUCGCCUGUGACGAAGCGUGAGUGACGGUAAUGGGUAAAGAAGCACCGGCUAACUACGUG